AAGAAAAUAGUUCAGCACUAAGUCAUUUUAUCUUUGUGAUAAAUAUGAGAUGCAGUGUAUGGAAUAUCUUUAUGCUAACAAUUUAUAUAUUAAUAAUUUAAGUCCUUCUUAAAUGAGGCCAUUUACCCAUAGAGGGUGCCAGGCCCGUAAAAUGUUAAUAAAUGUUAGAAGAUAUUUCCAAAGAGUCGUGUUGCUUGAUAGUGCAGCACUAAGUGGGUGGUAAACUCCAUCUAAAACUAAAUAUAACCAUGAGACCGAUAGCAAACAAGUACCGUGAGGGAAAGUUGAAAAGAACUCUGAAUAGAGAGUUAAAAAGUACGUGAAACUGCUUAGAGGUUAAGCCCGAUGAACUUGAAUAUCCAUUAUGGGAAAUUCAUCAUUAUGAUUAUUUAUUUUUAUUUUAUAAAUUUAAAUAAAUAAUAAUAGUGUGCACUUUUCCCAUAUAAGGACAUUGUGAUCUAUUAAUAAUAAAUAUAUCAAAAGAUUAAUUGCGUUAUAUGUUUAAUUUAAUUAAUUUGUCUUGUACAAUUUAACAUGAAUUAAAUGCAAUUGAUUUGAUAGAAUAUUGAUAGAUUUUAUAUUAUAUAAAUGCAAAAAUAUACAUUUAUGUAUAUUUUAUAAUUAAUUGUAUAUUAUAUAUAUACAUAUUAUUAUUAUAUGGCAUUUAUAUGAUUAACAAUGCGAAAGAUUCAGGAUACCUUCGGGACCCGUCUUGAAACACGGACCAAGGAGUCUAACAUAUUUGCAAGUUAUUGAGUAAUAUUUUUAUAUUUAUAUAAAAUUGAAAUAAACUCAAUAGCGUAAUUAACGUGAAUUUAGAUAAUAAAUGGGAUUAGUUUAUAUUUGAUUUUCUUUCAAUAGAAAAUUUCAAUUUGUAAAUUCAAUCCCGAGGCGUUCUAUAUUGGUUAUGUAUAUAAUAUAGUAUUUAUAUUAUUUUAUAUAUCUCUAACUAAGAACGUACUCUAAGCAAAUAUGCUGUGACCCGAAAGAUGGUGAACUAUACUUGAUCAGGUUGAAGUCAGGGGAAACCCUGAUGGAAGACCGAAACAGUUCUGACGUGCAAAUCGAUUGUCAGAAUUGAGUAUAGGGGCGAAAGACCAAUCGAACCAUCUAGUAGCUGGUUCCCUCCGAAGUUUCCCUCAGGAUAGCUGGUGCAUAUAAGAUUUAUAAAUAAUCUUAUCUGGUAAAGCGAAUGAUUAGAGGCAUUAGGGUCGGAAUGACCUUAACCUAUUCUCAAACUUUAAAUGGGUAAGAACCUCACCUUUCUUGGCACGAAGGUUGUGGUUAUGAUAUAUAUGUGCCCAGUGGGCCAUUUUUGGUAAGCAGAACUGGCGCUGUGGGAUGAACCAAACGUAAUGUUAUGGUGCCCAAAUUUACAACUUAUACAGAUACCAUGAAAGGCGUUGGUUGCUUAAAACAGCAGGACGGUGGACAUGGAAGUUGUAAACCGCUAAGGAGUGUGUAACAACUCACCUGCCGAAGCAACUAGCCCUUAAAAUGAAUGGCGCUUAAGUUGUAUACCUAUACAUUACCGCUAAAGUAAAUGAUUUAUAAUUUUAAAUAAUUAUAAAUUUUGAAACUUUAGUGAGUAGGAGGGUACAAUGGUGUGCAUAGAAGUAUAUGGCGUAAGCCUAUAUGGAGCCACCAUUGGCACAGAUCUUGGUGGUAGUAGCAAAUAAUCGAAUGAGACCUUGGAGGACUGAAGUGGAGAAGGGUUUCGUGUGAACAGUGGUUGAUCACGAGUUAGUCGGUCCUAAGUUCAAGGUGAAAACCGAAAAUUUUCAAGUAAUAAUUAAUAAAUUAUAUAUAAUUUUUAUUUUAUAUACUUGAUAAUUUAAUUGAACGAAAGGGAAUACGGUCCCAAUUCCGUAACCUGUUGAGUAUCCGUUUGUUUAUUAAAUGUGGGCCCUUGUGCUCAUCCUGGUAACAGGAACGACCAUAAAGAAGCUGUCGAGAGAUAUCGGAAGAGUUUUCUUUUCUGUUUUAUAGUCGUAUUACCAUGGAAUUCUUUCGAAGAGAGAUAUGGUAAAUGGACUAGAAGAGCAUGACAUUUACUGUUGUGUCGAUAUUUUCUCCUCAGACCUUGAAAAUUUAUGGUGGGGUCACGCAAACUUCUCAACAGGCCGUACCAAUAUCCGCAGCCGGUCUCCAAGGUGAAGAGUCUCUAGUC
rnacentral:rRNA from 1 species